rnacentral:rRNA from 1 species
UACGUAGGGGGCAAGCGUUGUCCGGAUUUAUUGGGCGUAAAGAGCUCGUAGGCGGCUUGUUGCGUCGACCGUGAAAACCCGGGGCUCAACUUCGGGCUUGCGGUCGAUACGGGCGGGCUAGAGUUCGGUAGGGGAGACUGGAAUUCCUGGUGUAGCGGUGAAAUGCGCAGAUAUCAGAAGGAACACCGAUGGCGAAGGCAGGUCACUGGGCCGCAACUGACGCUGAGGAGCGAAAGCAUGGGGAGCGAACAGG